GUCAACAGUCUGACAACAGUCUGACAACAUUAGGUCAACAGUCUGACAACAGUCUGACAGCAUUAGGCCAAACAGUCUGACAACAUUAGGUCAACAGUCUGACAACAUUAGGUCAAACAGUCUGACAACAGUCUGACAACAUUAGGUCAACAGUCUGACAACAUUAGGUCAACAGUCUGACAACAGUCUGACAACAUUAGGUCAACAUUAGGCCAAACAGUCUGACAACAGUCUGACAACAUUAGGUCAAACAGUCUGACAACAUUAGGUCAAAAGUCUGACAACAUUAGGUCAACAGUCUGACAACAUUAGGUCAAACAAUCUGAUAACAGUCUGACAACAUUAGGUCAACAGUCUGACAACAUUAGGUCAAACAGUCUGACAACAUUAGGUCAAACAGUCUGACAACAUUAGGUCAACAGUCUGACAACAUUAGGUCAAACAAUCUGAUAACAGUCUGACAACAUUAGGUCAAACAGUCUGACAACAUUAGGUCAAACAGUCUGACAACAUUAGGUCAACAGUCUGACAACAUUAGGUCAAACAAUCUGAUAACAGUCUGACACCAUUAGGUCAAACAGUCUGACAACAUUAGGUCAAACAGUCUGACAACAUUAGGUCAAACAGUCUGACAACAUUAGGUCAACAGUCUGACAACAUUAGGUCAAACAAUCUGAUAACAGUCUGACACCAUUAGGUCAAACAGUCUGACAACAUUAGGUCAAACAGUCUGACAACAUUAGGUCAACAGUCUGACAACAUUAGGUCAAACAGUCUGACAAUGUUCAGUCUCUGCAGUCUGUUACCUGUGUUUGGCCUGGCAGUGUGUCAGCCUAUCAGAAGAAGGCUCAUUAAUAUUAAUAUGCAGCUAAAUGGUGCUUCUCUCUGUUUGUUUGU